rnacentral:rRNA from 1 species
AAAUUGAAGAGUUUGAUCAUGGCUCAGAUUGAACGCUGGCGGCAGGCCUAACACAUGCAAGUCGAGCGGUAGCACAGAGAGCUUGCUCUCGGGUGACGAGCGGCGGACGGGUGAGUAAUGUCUGGGAAACUGCCUGAUGGAGGGGGAUAACUACUGGAAACGGUAGCUAAUACCGCA